AAUGAUCUGAUUUUUUUUAUAUGACAUGUAUAUUUUGUUCUGAACACUGGCUAUAUUGUAUGAGAAUGAUAAUGAAAUAUGACUUGAAUUGUAAUGGAAUGGUGAAGAGUUGUGUACAUAUAAUAUGGGGUUGGCACUAUUGGACAAUAUAACAAUAUCUCUCACUGGUAAGAAAUGCUUGAGUGUUGAACAGAUUGACUGUAAACCUCAAAUUGGUGUUAGAAAUUAUGAGUGCAGUUUGAUAUGGUGUAAUAAAAAUCUUGCUAAAUUAA